GCCAGUGUGGCGUAGUGGUUUGAGUGUUGUACUAGGACUAUGGAGGCCAGAGUUCGACUCCCAGCUCGGUCA